rnacentral:tRNA from 1 species
AAAUAAGAAGCAAUUAUUUGCAUUUAAUUUCGACUUAAAAGAAAGAGUUUAACAACUCCUUAUUUA